AGUGGAAAUUGUGAAAGGAAAAUUUAAAACUAGCAAGUUAUAUAAAAACAAAUCCUUGUGAUAUAAAGCUGAGAAGUAAAAACCAAUAGGGAACAAACAAAUAAGAUUUGCAGUUAAUUUAAAUAUAUAUAAUAAAAUAUAUGUGAACUUAAAGAUGACUACAAGAAAUAAUGAGCCAAUCUAAGCAAGCCAUGUUCCCCUCAUAUAUUGUAUGUCGUGGCCCUCUCUUCAUCUCUAGAGUGACACGUAGAAACUAAAUUGCUUCCUUAUCAAGUAUUGAGUUACCACAACCAUCCUAUAAAUUCUCACAGGUAGAUAUUGAAAAAAAAAAACCACUCAAAUAAUUAUUUACUUCUCACAAUAUUAAUUCCUUUCGAAUACCUCUUAGCCUUAAAAAAAAAAAAAAAAAAAAAAAAAAAAUCUUCGGCACCUUUGUUUCGACUUCCCCUUAUUCGUCAUAAACAUUCCAACUUAACAAACCCAACCACCACAGGACAUACUAUACAAGUGCUUCUGUCUUCCGUCUAUUAGAACCCCACCUUAAGCAACCGACGCAAUUCAAGCAUUACCAGCCGCCAUUCACCGGAUCGACGUAUCACUUAGCCGGCGGCUUAGACUCGCGAUUGAAUCUCACGCUAUUCAAGGACACCUACACUAAUUAUUAAAGGUUAGCAGGGAUGGCGGGAAAGUGUGAAGAGAGCUAAAAUAAACAAGUUGGAAUCUUAGUGUGUAGUUUUAAUAAUGUAUGAAAUAAAUUAUCAGGAAUAAAUCUUUUGUAAACUCGUUUGGAUAAAAAUAAAAUAAGCCCUUUUGUA